rnacentral:rRNA from 1 species
ACGGAAGGCAGCAGUGAGGAAUAUUGGUCAAUGGACGCAAGUCUGAACCAGCCAUGCCGCGUGCAGGAAUAAGGCCCUAUGGGUCGUAAACUGCUUUUGUGGUGGAGCAAUAAGUCGUACGUGUACGGCGGUGAGAGUACAUCACGAAUAAGCAUCGGCUAACUCCGUGCCAGCAGCCGCGGUAAUACGGAGGAUGCAAGCGUUAUCCGGAUUUAUUGGGUUUAAAGGGUGCGUAGGCUGUGGUCCAAGUCAGGGGUGAAAGCCCGGAGCUCAACUCCGGAACUGCCUUUGAUACUGGAUUGCUGGAAUACGGAUGCCGUGGGAGGAAUGAGUAGUGUAGCGGUGAAAUGCAUAGAUAUUACUCAGAACACCGAUUGCGAAGGCAUCUCACGAAUCCGUCAUUGACGCUGAGGCACGAAAGCGUGGGGAUCAAACAGGAUUAGAUACCCUGGUA